rnacentral:lncRNA from 1 species
AUGACUCCUCCCUCAACAUUAUGAUGUUCCCGAAGCUUUGGACUCAAUCCGAUAUCGAUUGGUCUAUGGAAUUGGACAAUUCAGGUUUGUACGAUGUUCGUUCUGAAAUGGAGUGGUUGGUUUAUUGUACUAUUUUAGACAUUGAAAUUCACUCAAAAUUCACAAAAUGACUCCGCCCACAACAUUAUGGUGUUCCCCAAAUUUCGGACUCAAUCCGAUAUCGAUUGGCCUAUGAAAUUGGACAAUUCAAGUUCGUACGAAGUUCAUUCUGAAAUAGAGUGGUUGGUAUAUUGUAUAGUUCUAGAGAUUGGAUUUCACUCAAAAUCCACCAAAUGACUCCUCCCACAGUAUUUUGAUGUCCCCCAUGUUUUUGACUCAAUCCGAUAUCGAUUGGUCCAUGAAAUCGGACAAUUUAGGUUCGUACAAAGCUUGUUCUGAAAUGGAAUGGUUGGUGUAUUAUAUAGUUCUAGAGAUUGGAUUUCACUCAAAAUCCACCAAAUGACUCCUCCCACAGUAUUUUGAUGUCCCCCAAGUUUUUGACUCAAUCCGAUAUCGAUUGGUCCAUGAAAUCGGACAAUUUAGGUUCGUACGAAGUUCGUUCUGAAAUGGAAUGGUUGGUGUAUUAUAUAGUUCUAGAGAUUGGAUUUCACUGAAAACCCACCAAAUGACUCCUCCAAUAAUAUUAUGAUGUUCCCCAAGUUUUGGACUGAAUCUGAUAUCGAUUGGUCCAAGAAAUUUGACAAUUCAGGUUCAUACGAAGUUCGUUCUGAAAUGGAGUUGUUGGUGUAUUGCAUAGUUUUCGUAAUUGAAUUUCACUUAGAACUCACCAAAUGACUCCUGCCACAACAUUACGUUGUUCCCCAAGUUUUGGACUCAAUCCGAUAUCGAUUCGUCCAUGAAAUCGAACAAUUCAGGUUCGUACGAAGUUCGUUCUGAAAUGGAGUGGUUGGUGUAUUGUAUAGUUCUAGAGGUUGGAUUUCACUCAAAACCUACCAGAUGACUCCUCCCACAAUAUUAUGAAGUUCCCCAAGGUUUGGACUCAAUUCGAUAUCGAUUGGUCCACGAAAUUGGACAAUUUAGGUUCGUACAAAGUUCGUUCUGAAAUUGAGUGGUUGGUGUAAUGCAUAGUUUUUAGAGAUUGGAUUUCGCUCAAAACUCACCAAACACUAUAAGAAAAAACCCUUUACUAACUGCUAAAAAGCAUCACUAUAGCCAUUACAUGGCGGUUCCAAAAGUGUCAGGGACCCCAUUGUCAGGAAUGGGUGCCACCAUACUUGACGCUUAUUAUCCCGCAAGAAAUAGUGUUUCCUGACCGGUACAAAGCGUCACGAAUUAGUGAAAAAUCAUCAACGAAAGCUUUUCUUGUCGCUGAAUAAGUAUCAACAAAUAUAUUUGCUGACAUUUAAUAAAUAUUUCUUGACGGUUCUUAGCUGUCAAGAGUUGUAUAACUAAAAAAAAAUUAAAAAUUAAAAACAAAAAAAAAGCUUCCUAGACAACUAAAAUUUCAAAGAAUUUAGAAGCUAAAUGAAUGUAUUAAAAAAAUAAUAAGCUGAAAUUUAAUAUCCACUAAAAUAGAAUAUUUAGAUACAAACAUUCAAAAACUCAUACUAAUAUGUCAACUAUCUUGAGAAAUGAUAUUAAAAAAAUAUUUUAAAAAAAAUUACACUGAAAACAAUACAUGCUGAAAUAAACCAAACUAUCCAGUAUAGUAAAACGUAGAACUUCUAACUUAGAAGCUUGACUUUCCAUAGCACUUGUCUUUGUAGUUUAAGCCUCCAUGUACACAUCAAUCUGCCAGUAUAGGUAAGACAUUAAUUUAAAGAAUUAAGAGAUACAACCAAUGAACACAUCAACCUUGUCCAACACCAAUAGAGUCCAAUAUCAUUCACAUAUUCAUUACCAAAUAUAAAUGCCACUUCUUUUGAUUCAAAUGCAGAGAAGAACUUGAGAGGAAACUCCAAUUUGUGUUGUUUAGAAAGUUAUUAAAACUGGAUGAAACUCAAAUAGCUCCAUCUAAAACUGGAUGACCAAGAAAAAAAUAAUAAGCAUCACCAUUACCACACUCUUCAACUUACAAUGGAGGAAGAGAGACUGAGCGAGGGGUGAGUGACCCACUGAUAGAGCACGAACUAGCCACAGCGACAGAGAAAGAGAGGCAGAGCAAGAGUGAAAAAGAAAGAGCAAAAGAGGACAGAAAUUGAAAGAGUGAGAAGGAACGAGAGAAGAGACAGAGAGAGAGCGAUAAUGAAAAUGGAAGUGAGAGAAUGAGAGUGCAACUGAGAAAGAGAGAGAGCUUUUGAAAAAUUGGGGUUUCACUCGUGAAAAAUCAGAUCCCGCUUUUGUUUUUAUUCAGGUUUGUAUGAAGUUCGUUAUGAAAUGGAGUGGUUGGUGUUUUGCAUAGUUUUAGCCAUUGGAUUUCACUCAAAACUCACCAAAUGACUCCUCCCACCAUAUUAUGAUGUUCCCCACGUUUUGGACUCAAUUCGAUAUCAAUUGGUUCAAAAAUCGGACAAUUCAGGUUUGUACGACAUUCGUUCUGAAAUGGAGUGGUUGGUGUAUAUAGUUCCAGAGAUUGGAUUUCACUCAAAACCCACCAAAGGAGUCCUCCCACAAUAUUAUAAUGUUCCCCAAGUUUUGGACUCAAUCCCAAAUCGAUUGGUCCACGAAAUUGGACAAUUAAGGUUCGUACGAAGUUCGUUAUGUAAUAAAGUCGUUGGUGUAUUGCAUAGUUUUAGCCAUUGCAUUUCACAUAAAACUCACCAAAUGACUCCUCCCACCAUAUUACAGUGUCCCCCAAGUUUUUGACUCAAUCCGAUCUCGAUUGGUCAAUGAAAUCAGACAAUUGAGAUUCGUACGAAGUUCGUUCUGAAAUGGAGUGGUUGGUGUAUUGUAUAGUUCUAGAGAUUGGAUUUCACUCAAAACCCACCAAAUGACUCGUCCCAUAAUAUUAUGAUGUUCCCCAAGUUUUGGACUCAAUCUCAUAUCGAUUGGUCCAUGAGAUCGGCCAAUUUAUGUUCGUACGAAGUUCGUUCGCUAACGGAGUGGUUGGUGUAUUGCAUAGUUUUGGCAAUUGGAUUGUACUCAAAACUCACCAAAUGACUCCUCCCACAACAUUAUGAUGUUCCCCAAGUUUGGGACUCAAUCCGAUAUCAAUUGGUCCCAGAAAUUGGACAAUUCCGGUUCGUACGAAGUUUGUUAUGAAAUGGAGUGGUUGGUGUAUUGCAUAGUUUUAGCCAUUGGAUUUCACUCAAAACUCACCAAAUGACUCCUCCCACCAUAUUAGGUGUCCCCCAAGUUUUUGACUCAAUCCGAUAUCACUUGGUCAAUGAAAUCGGACAAUUCAGGUUCGUACAAAGUUCGUUAUGAAAUGGAGAGGUUGGUGUAUUGUAUAGAUCUAGAUAUUGGAUUUCACUCAAAAUCCACCAAAUGACUCCUCCCACAAUAUUGUCAUGUUCCUCAAGUUUUGGAUGCAAUCCGAUAUCGAUUGGUCCAUGAAAUUGGACAAUUCAAGUUCGUAUGAAGUUCGUUCUGAAAUAAAGAGGUUGGUGUAUUCUAUAGUUCUAGAGAUUGGAUUUCAUUCAAACCUACCAAAUGACUCCUCCGAAAAUAUUAUGAUGUUCCCCAAGUUUUGGACUCAAUCCGAUAUUGAUUGGUCCAUGAAAUUGGACAAUUAAGGUUCGUACGAAGUUCGUUAUGAAAUGGAAUGGUUGGUGUAUUGCAUAGUUUUAGGCAUUGGAUUUCACUCAAAACUCAGCAAAUGACUCCUCCCACAACAUUAUGAUGUUCUCCAAGUAUUGGACUCAAUCUGAUAUUGAUUGGUCCAUGAAAUCGGACAAUUCAGGUUCGUACGAAGUUCGUUAUGAAAUGGAGUGGUUGGUGUAUUGCAUAGUUUAGCCAUUGGAUUUCACUCAAAACUCACCAAAUGACUCCUCCCAUCAUAUUACGGUGUCCCCCAAGUUCUUGACUCAAACCGAUAUCGAUUGGCCAAUGAAAUCGGACAAUUCAGGUUCGUACGAAGUUUGUUAUGAAAUGGAGUGGUUGGUGUAUUGUAUAGUUCUAGAGAUUGGAUUUCACUUAAAACCCAGCAAAUGACUCCUCCCACAAUAUUAUGAUGUUCCCCAAGUUUUGUACGCAAUCCGAUAUGGAUUGGUCCAUGAAAUUGGACAGUUCAAGUUCGUAUGAAGUGUGUUCUGAAAUGAAGUGGUUGGUGUAUUCUAUACUUCCAAAGAUUGGAUUUCACUCAAAACCAACCAAAUGACUCUUCCCACAAUUUCAUGGUGUUCCCCAAGUUUUGGAUGCAAUCCGAUAUCGAUGGGUCCAUGAAAUUGGACAAUUCAAGUUCGUACAAAGUUCGUCCUGAAAUAAAGUGGUUGGUGUAUUCUAUAGUUCUAGAGAUUGGAUUUCAUUCAAAACCCACCAAAUGACUCCUCCGACAAUAUUAUGAUGUUCCCCAAGUUUUGUACUCAAUUCGAUAUCGAUUUGUCCUUGAAAUUGGUCAACUAAGGUUCGUACGAAGUUCGUUAUGAAAUGGAGUGGUUGGUUUAUUGCAUAGUUUUAGCCAUUGGAUUUCACUCAAAACUCACCAAAUGACUCCUCCCACCAUAUUAUGAUGUCCCCCAAGUUUUGGAGUCAUUCCGAUAUCGAUUGGUCCAUGAAAUCGGACAAUUCAGAUUCGUACGAAGUUUGUUCUAAAAUGGAGUGGUUCGUGAAUUGCAUAAUAUUUGGAAUUGGAUUUCUCAAAACUCACAAAAUGACUUCUCCCACAACAUUAUGAAGUUCCCCAAGUUUUGGACUCAAUCGGAUAUCGAUUGGUCCAUCAAAAUCGGACAAUUCCGGUUCGUAUGAAGUUCGUCAUGAAAUGAUGGGGUUGGUGUAUUGCAUUAUUUUAACCAUUAGAUUUCACCCAACACACAUCAAAUGAAUCCUCCCACAAUAUGAUGAUGUUCACCAAGUUUUGGACUCAAUCCGAUAUCGAUUGGUCCUUGAAAUUGGACAAUUAAGGUUCGUACGAAGUUCGUUCUGAAAUGGAGUGGUUGGUGUAUUGCAUAGUUUGAGACAUUGGAUUUCACUCAAAAUACACCAAAUGACUCCUCCCACUAUAUUAUGAUAUUCCCCAAGUUUUGGACUUAAUCCGUUAUCGGUUGUUCCAUGAAAUCGUACAAUUCAAGUUCGUACGAAGUUCGUUUUGAAAUGGAGUGGCUGGUGUAUUGCACUGUUUUAGCCACUGGAUUUCAGACUCAAUCCGAUAUCGAUUGGUCCACGAAAUAGGACAAUUCAAAUUCGUACGAAGUUCAUUCUGAAAUGGAGUGGUUGGUGUAUUGCAAUGUUUUAGCCAUUGGAAUUCACUCAAAACUGAAAAAUGACUCCUCCCACAACAUUAUGAUGUUCCCCAAGUUUUGGACUCAAGUCGAUAUCGAUUGGUCCAUCAAAUCGGACAAUUCAGGUUCGUACGAAGUUCGUUCUGAAAUGAUGUGGUCGGUGUAUUGCAUAGUUUUAGUGAUUGGAUUUCGCUGAAAACUCACCAUAUGACUCCUCCCACCAUAUUAUGAUGUUCCCCUAGUUUUGGACUCAAUCUCAUAUCGAUUGGUCCAUGUAAUUGGACAAUUCAGGUUCGUACGAAGUUCGUUCUGAAAUGGAGUGGUUGGUGUAUUGUAUAGUUCUAGAGAUUGGAUUUCACUAAAAACCACCAAAUGACACCUCCCACAAUAUUAUGAUGUUCCCCAAGUUUUGAACUCAAUCCGAUAUAGAUUGGUCCAUGAAAUUGGACAAUUCAGGUUCAUACGAGGUUCGUUCUGAAUUGGAGUGGUUGAUGGAUUACAUAGUUUUAGUGAUUGGAUUUCGCUCAAAACUCACCAUAUGACUCCUCCCACCAUAUUAUGAUAUUCCCCAAGUUUUGGGCUCAAUCAGAUUUUGAUUGGUCCAAGAAAUUGGACUAUUCAUGUUCGUACGAAGUUCGUUCUCUACUAGAGUGGUUGGUGUAUUAUAUAGUUCUAGAGAUCGGAUUUCACUCAAACCCCACGAAAUGACUCGUCCCACAAUAUUAUGUCGUUCCCGAAGUUUUGGACUCAAUCCGAUAUCGAUUGGGCCAUGAAAUCGAACAAUUUAGGUUCGUGCGAUGUUCGUUAUGAAAUGGAGUGGUUGGUGUAUUGCAUAGUUUUAGCAAUUGGAUUUCGCUCAAAACUCACCAUACGACUCCUCCCACCAUAAUAUGAUGUUCCCCAAGUUUUAGGCUCAAUCAGAUAUUAAUUGGUCCAAGAAAUUGGACUAUUUAUGUUCAUACGAAGUUCGUUCUCCAUUGGAGUGGUUGGUGUAUUAAAUUGUUCUGGAGAUUGGAUUUCACUCAUUACCCACCGAAUGACUACUCCCACAAUAUUAUGAUGUUCCCCAGGUUUUGGACUCAAUCGUAUAUCGAUUAUUCCACGAAAUUGGACUAUUCAUGUUCGUACGAAAUUCGUUCUCUAAUGGAGUGGUUGGUGUAUUUCUUAGUUUUUACUAUUGUAUUUCACCCAAGAGCACCCCAAAUGACUCCUCCCAUUAUAUGAUGAUGUCGCCCAAGUUUUAGACUCAAUCCGAUAUCGAUUGGUCCAUGAAAUUGGACAAUUCAGGUUCGUACGAAGUUCAUUCUGAAAUGGAGUGGUUGGUGUAUUGUAUAGUUCUAGAGAUUUGAUUUUACUCAAAACCCACCAAAUGACUUCUCCCACAAUAUUAUGAUGUUCCACAAGUUUUCGACUAAAUCCGAUAUCAAUUGGUCGAUGAAAUGGGACAAUUCAGGUUCGUACGAAGUUCAUUCUAAAAUGGAGUGGUUGGUGUAUUAUAUAGUUCUAGAGAUUGGAUUUCACUCAAAACCCACCGAAUGAAUCCUCCCACUAUAUUACGAUCUUCCUCAUGUUUUCGACUCAAUCCCAUAUCGAUUGGCCCACAAAAUUGGACAAUUCAGGUUUGUAUAAAGUUCGUUCUGAAAUAGAGUGGUUGGUGUACUGCAUAGUUCUAGAGAUUGGAUUUCACUUAAAACCUACCAAAUGACUCCUUAUUCAACAUUAUGAUUUUUCCCAAGUUCUGAACUCAAUCCGAUAUCGAUUGGUCCAUGAAAUCGGACAAUUCAGUUCGUACGAAGUUCAUUUUGGAAUGGGAUGAUUGGUGUAUUGCAUUGUUUAGCCAUUGGAUUUCACUCAAAACUCACAAAUGACUACUCCCACAACAUUAUGAUGUUCCCCAAGUUUUGGACUCAUCCGAUAUCGAUUGGUCCACGAAAUUCGACAAUUCAGGUUCGUACAAACCUGUGCUCUAGAAUAGAGAGGUUGGUUAUUGCGAAGUUUACUCAUUGGAUUUCGCUCAAAACUCACCAUAUGACUCCUCCCACUAUAUUAUGAUGUUCCUCAAGUUUUGGACUCAAUCCGAUAUCGAUUGGUUCAAGAAAUUGGACUAUUCAUUUUCGAACGAAGUUCGUUCUCUAAUGGAGUGGUUGGUGUAUUAUAUAGUUCUAGUGAUUGGAUUUCACUCAAAACCCCCCAAAUUAUGCCUCCCACAAUCUUAUGAUAUUCCCCAAGUUUUGGACUCAAUCCGAUAUCUAUUGGUCCUUGAAAUUGGAAAAUUCAGGUUCGUACGAAGUUCGUUCUGAAAUGGAGUGGUUGGUGUAUUGUAUAGUUCUAGAGAUUGUAUUUCACUCAAAAUCCACCAAAUGACCCUUCCCAUUAUAUUAUGACAUUCCCCAACUCAAUCCGAUAUCGAUUGGUCCACGAAAUCGAACAAUUCACGUUCGUAUGAACUGUGUUCUGAAAUGGAGAGGUUGGUGUAUUGCUUAGUUUUACUCAUUGGAUUUAGCUCAAAACUCACCAUAUGACUCCUCCUACCAUAUUAUGAUGUUCCCCAAGUUUUGGGCUCUAUUCGAUGUCAAUUGGUCCAAGAAAUUGGACUAUUCAUUUUCGUACGAAGUUCGUUCUCUAAUAGAGUGGUUGAUGUAUUGCAUAAUUUUGGCAAUUGGAUUUCACUCAAAACUCACCAAAUGACUCCUGCCACAACAUUAUGACGUUCCCCAAGUUUUGGACUCAAUACGAUAUCUUUUGGUGCANNNNNNNNNNNNNNNNNNNNNNNNNNNNNNNNNNNNNNNNNNNNNNNNNNNNNNNNNNNNNNNNNNNNNNNNNNNNNNNNNNNNNNNNNNNNNNNNNNNNNNNNNNNNNNNNNNNNNNNNNNNNNNNNNNNNNNNNNNNNNNNNNNNNNNNNNNNNNNNNNNNNNNNNNNNNNNNNNNNNNNNNNNNNNNNNNNNNNNNNNNNNNNNNNNNNNNNNNNNNNNNNNNNUAUAGUUCGUCCCAAAGUUUCGUAUCUAAUAUCGACACGAUGGUCACCGAAAUUGACAUUCAUUUUCCCUCCCACUUUUGUUCUAAAAGGAGUGGUAGUGUAUUGCUAGUUUGGAGAUUGGUUUCACUCCAAACCCCACCAAUGACUCCUCCCACAAUAUUUGAUGUUCCCCAAGUUUGGACUCAAAUCCGAUAUCGAUUGGUGCACGAAAUUUGACAAAUUCAGGUUCGUACGAAGUUUGUUAUGAAAUGCAGUGGUUGGUAUAUUAUAUAGUUCAACAGAUUUGAUUCACUCAAAACCCACCAAAUGACUCCUCCCAUAAUAUUAUUAUAUUCCCCAAGUUUUGGACCCAAUCCGAUAUCGAUUGGUCCAUGAAAUUGGACAAUUCAGGUUCGUACGAUGUUUGAGACUCAAUCCGACAUCAAUUGGUCCAUGAAAUUGGACAAUUCCGGUUCGUACGAAGUUCGUUAUGAAAUGGAGUGGUUGGUGUAUUGCAUAGUUUUAGACAUUGAAUUUCGUUCAAAACUCACCAUAUGACUCCACCCACCAUAUUAUGAUGUUCACCAAGUUUUUAGCCCAAUCCGAUAUUGAUUGGUUAAUGAAAUUGAACUGUUCGUGUUCGUACGAAGUUCGUUCUCUAAUGGAUUGGUUGGUGUAUUGUAUAGUUUUGGCAAUUGGAUUUCACUUAAAAAUCAACAACUAUAUUAUGAUGUUCCCCAAGUUUUGGACUCAGUCCGAUAUCGAUUGGUCCAUGAAAUUGGACAAUUCAGGUUCGUACGAAGUUCGUUCAGAAAUGAAGUGGUUGAUGUAUUGUAUAGUUAUAGAGAUUGGAUUUCAUUCAAAACUCACCAAAUGACUCGUCCCACAACAUUAUGAUGUUCCCCAAGUUUGGGAUUCAAUCAGACAUGAAUUGGUCCAAGAAAUUGGGCAAUUCAGGUUGGUACGAAGUUCAUUCUGAAAUGGAGUGGUUGGUGUAUUGCAUAGUUUUAGCCAUUGGAUUUCGCUCAAAACUCAUCAUAUGACUCCUCCGACCAUAUUAUGAUGAUCUCCAAGUUUUGGGCUCAAUCCGGUAUCGAUUGGUCCAAGAAAUUAUACUAUUCAUGUUCGUGCGAAGUUCGUUAUGAAAUGGAGUGGUUGGUGUGUUGCAUAGUUGUGGAAAUUGUAUUUCGCUCAAAACCCACCAAAUGACUCCUCCCACUAUAUUAUGUUGUUCCCCAAGUUUUGGACUCAAUCCGAUAUCGAUUGGCCCAAGAAAUUGGACAAUUAAGGUUCGUGUGAAGUUCCUUUUGAAAUGGAGCGGUUGGUGUAUUGCUUAGUUCUAGAGAUUGGAUUUCACUCAAAACCCACCAAAUGACACCUCCCGCCAUAUUAUGAUGUUCCCCAAGUUUUGGACUUAAUUCGAUAUCAAUUGGUCCAUGGAAUUGGAAAAUUCUGGUUCGUAUGAAGUUCGUUCUGAAAUGGAGUGGUUGGUGUAUUGGAUAGUUCUAGAGAUUUUAUUUCACUCAAAACCCACCAAAUGACUCCUCCAACAAUAUGAUGAUGUUCCCCAAGUUUGGGACUCAAUCCGAUAUCGAUUGGUCCAUGAAAUUGGACAAUUCAGGUUCGUACGAAGUUUGCUCUGAAAUGGAGUGGUUGGUGUAUUGCCUAGUUUUAGCCAUUGGAUUUCACUCAAAACUCACCAUAUGACUCCUCCCACCAUAUUAUGACGUUCUCCAUGUUUUGGACUCAAUCCGAUAUCGAUUUGUCCUUGAAAUUGGACAAUUCAGGUUUGUACGAAAUUCGUUCUGAAAUGGAGUGAUUUUUGUAUUGCAUAGUUUUAGCCAUUGGAUUUCGCUCAAAACUCACCAUAUAACUCCACCCACCAUAUUAUGAUGUUCCCCAAGUUUUGAGCCUAAUCCGAUAUUGAUUGGUUAAUGAAAUUGAACUAUUCGUGUUCUUACGAAGUUCGUUCUCUAAUGGAGUGGUUGGUGUUUUGCAUAGGUUUCGCUAUUGAAUUUCACUCAAAACCCACCAAAUGACUCUUCCCACAAUAUUAUGAUGUUCCCAAAGUUUUGGACUCAAUCCGAUAUCGAUUGGUCCAUGAAAUCGGAUAAUUCAGGUUCGUACGAUGUUCGUUCUGAAAAUGAGUGGUUAAUGUAUUGCAUAGUUUUAGCCAUUGGGUUUCGCUUAAAACGUACCAAAUGAAUCCUCCAACUAUAUUAUGAUGUUCCUCAAGUUUUGGACUCAAUCAGAUCUCAAUUGGUCCAUGAAAUUGGACUAUUCAGGUUCGUAUGAAGUUCGUUAUGAAAUGGAGUGGUUGGUGUAGUGCAUUGUUAUAGAGAUUGGAUUUCACUGAAAACUCACCAAAUGACUCGUCCCACAACAUUAUGAAGUUCCCCAAGUUUGGGACUGAAUCCGACAUUGAUUGGUCCAUGAAAUUGGACAAUUUAGGUUCGUAUGAAGUUCGUUCUGAAAUGGAGUGGUUGGUUUAUUGCAAACUUUUAGCGAUUGGAUUUCACUCAAAACUCACCGUAUGACUCCUCCCACCAUAUUAUGAUGAUCCCCAAGUUUGGUACUCAAUCCGACAUCGAUUGUUCUAUGAAAUUGGACAAUUCAGGUUCGUACGAAGUUUGUUCUGAAUGGAGUGGUUGGUGUGUUGUAUAGUUGUAGCCAUUGGAUUUCAAUCAAAAGUCACUAUGACUCCUCCCACCAUAUUAUGCUGUUCUCCAAGUUUUGGGCUCAAUCCGGUAUCGAUUGGUCCAAGAAAUUAUACUAUUCAUGUUCGUGCGAAGUUCGUUAUGAAAUGGAGUGGUUAGUGUUUUACAUAGUUAUAGCCAUUGGAUUUCACUCAACAGUCACCGUAUGAAUCCUCCCACAACAUUAUGAUGAUCCCCAAGUUUUGGACUCAAUCCGAUAUCGAUUGGUCCAUGAAAUUGGACAAUUCAGGUUCAUACGAAGUUCGUUCUGAAAUGGAGUGGUUGGUGUAUUGUAUAGUUCUAUAGAUUAGAUUUCACUCAAAAAUCACCAAAUGACUCCUACAAUAUUAUGAUGUUCCCCAAGUUUUGGACUCAAUCCGAUAUCGAUUGGUCCUUGAAAUCGGACAAUUCAGGUUCGUACGAAGUUCGUUCUGAAAUGGGGUGAUUGGUGUAUUUUAUAGUUCUAGAGAUUGGAUUUCACUCAAAACUCACCAAAUGACUCCUCCCACCACAUUAUGAUGAUCCCCAAGUUUUGGACUCAAUCCGAUAUCGAUUGGUCCAUGAAAUUGGACAAUUCAGGUUCGUACGAAGUUCGUUCUGAAAUGGGGUGGUUGAUGUAUUGUAUAGUUCUAUAGAUUGGAUUUCACUCAAAAAUCACCAAAUGACUCCCACAAUAUUAUAAUGUUCCCCAAGUUUUGGACUCAAUCCGAUAUCGAUUGGUCCUUGAAAUCGGACAAUUCAGGUUCAUACGAAGUUCGUUCUGAAAUGGGGUGAUUGGUGUAUUGUAUAGUUCUAGAGAUUGGAUUUCACUCAAAACCCACCAAAUGACUCCUCCCACAGUGCUAUGAUGUUCCCCAAGUUUUGGACUCAAUCCGAUAUCGAUUGGUCCACGAAAUUUCACAAUUCAGAUUCGUACGACGUUUGUUCUAAAACGCAGCGGUUGGUGUAUUGUAUAGUUCUAGGGAUUCGAUUUCACUGAAAACACACCAAAUGACUCCCCCCACAAUAUUACGAUAUUCCCCAAGUUUUGGACUCAAUCCAAUAUCGAUUGGUCCAUGAGAUCGGCCAAUUCAGGUUUCUAUGAACUGUUUUCUGAAAUGGAGUGGUUGGUGUAUUGUAUAGUUCUAGAGAUUGGAUUUCACUCAAAACCCACCAACGGACUCCUCCCACAAUAUGAUGAUGUUCCCCAAGUUUUGGACUCAAUCUGAUAUCGAUUGGUCUUUGAAAUCGGAUAAUUCAGGUUCGUACGAAGUUCGUUCUAAAAUGGGGUGAUUUGUGUAUUGUAUAGUUCUAGAGAUUGGAUUUCACUCAAAACCCACCAAAUGACUCCUCCCACAAUGCUAUGAUGUUCCCCACGUUUUGGACUCAAUCCGAUAUCGAUUGGUCCACGAAAUUUGAGAAUUCAGGUUCGUACGAAGUUUGUUCUAAAAUGGAGUAGUUGGUGUAUUGUAUAGUUCUAGAGAUUGGAUUUGACUCAAAACCCACCAAAUGACUUCUCCCACAAUAGUAUGAAGUUCCCCAAGUUUUGAAAUCAAUCCGAUAUCGAUUGGUCAAUGAAAUCGGACAAUUCAGGUUCGUACGAAGUUCGUUCUGAAAUGGGGUGGUUGGUGUAUUGUAUAGUUCUAGAGAUUGGAUUUCACCAAAACCCACCAAAUGACUCCUACCACAAUACAAUGAUGUUCCCCAAGUUUUGGACUCAAUCCCAUAUCGAUUGUUCCACGAAAUUUGACAGUUCAGGUUCGUACGAAGUUCGUUUUGAAAUGGAGUGGUUGGUGCAUUGUAUAGUUCUAGGGAUUGGAUUUCAGUCAACACACACCAAAUGACUCCUCCCACAGUAUUAUGUUGUUCCCCAAAUUUUGGACUCAAUCCGAUAUCUAUUGGUCCAUGAAAUCGGCCAAUUCAGGUUCGUGUGAACUGUGUUAGGAAAUGGAGUGGUUGGUGUAUUCUAUAGUUCUAGAGAUUGGAUUUCACUCAAAAAUCAACAAAUGACUCCCCCCACAGUAUUAUGAUGUUCCCCAAGUUUUGGACUCUAUCCGAUAUCAAUUGGUCCACGAAAUUUGACAAUUUAGGUUCUUACGAAGUACUUUCGAAAUGGAGUGGUUGGUGUCUUGUAUAGUUCUUGGGAUUGGAUUUCACUCAAAUCCCACCACCUGACUCCUCCCACAAUAUUUUGAUGUUCCCCAAGUUUUGGACUCAAUCUAAUAUCGAUUGGUCUAUGAAGUUGGACAAUUGAGGUUCGUACGAAGUACGUUCUGAAGUGCAGUGGUUGGUGUAUUGCAUGGUUCUAUGGAUUGGAUUUCACUCAAAACCCACCAAAUGACUCCUCCCACUAUAUUAUGAUGUUCCCCAAAUUUUGGAAUCAAACCGAUAUCGAUUGGUCCAUGAAAUUGGACAAUUCAGGUUCGUACGAAGUUCAUUCUGAAAUGGAGUGGUUGGUGUAUUGUAUAGUUCUAGAGAUUUGAUUUUACUCAAAACCCACCAAAUGACUUCUCCCACAAUAUUAUGAUGUUCCACAAGUUUUCGACUAAAUCCGAUAUCAAUUGGUCUAUGAAAUGGGACAAUUCAGGUUCGUACAAAGUUCGUUCUAAAAUGGAGUGGUUGGUGUAUUAUAUAGUUCUAGAGAUUGGAUUUCACUCAAAACCCACCGAAUGAAUCCUCCCACUAUAUUACGAUCUUCCUCAUGUUUUCGACUCAAUCCCAUAUCGAUUGACCCACAAAAUUGGACAAUUCAGGUUUGUAUAAAGUUCAUUCUGAAAUAGAGUGGUUGGUGUACUGCAUAGUUCUAGAGAUUGGAUUUCACUUAAAACCUACCAAAUGACUCCUUAUUCAACAUUAUGAUUUUCCCCAAGUUCUGGACUCAAUCCGAUAUCGACUGGUCCAUGAAAUCGGACAAUUCAGGUUCGUACGAAGUUCAUUUUGGAAUGGGAUGGUUGGUGUAUUGCAUUGUUUAGCCAUUGGAUUUCACUCAAAACUCACAAAAUGACUACUCCCACAACAUUAUGAUGUUCCCCAAGUUGUGGACUCAAUCCGGUAUCGAUUGGUCCAUGAAAUCGAACAAUUCACGUUCAUACGAACCGUGCUCUAGAAUAGAGAGGUUGGUUUAUUGCGAAGUUUUACUCAUUGGAUUUCGCUCAAAACUCACCAUAUGACUCCUCCCACUAUAUUAUGAUGUUCCUCAAGUUUUGGACUCAAUCCGAUAUCGAUUGGUUCAAGAAAUUGGACUAUUCAUUUUCGAACGAAGUUCGUUCUCUAAUGGAGUGGUUGGUGUAUUAUAUAGUUCUAGUGAUUGGAUUUCACUCAAAACCCCCCAAAUUAUGCCUCCCACAAUCUUAUGAUAUUCCCCAAGUUUUGGACUCAAUCCGAUAUCUAUUGGUCCUUGAAAUUGGAAAAUUCAGGUUCGUACGAAGUUCGUUCUGAAAUGGAGUGGUUGGUGUAUUGUAUAGUUCUAGAGAUUGUAUUUCACUCAAAAUCCACCAAAUGACCCUUCCCAUUAUAUUAUGACAUUCCCCAACUCAAUCCGAUAUCGAUUGGUCCACGAAAUCGAACAAUUCACGUUCGUAUGAACUGUGUUCUGAAAUGGAGAGGUUGGUGUAUUGCUUAGUUUUACUCAUUGGAUUUAGCUCAAAACUCACCAUAUGACUCCUCCUACCAUAUUAUGAUGUUCCCCAAGUUUUGGGCUCUAUUCGAUGUCAAUUGGUCCAAGAAAUUGGACUAUUCAUUUUCGUACGAAGUUCGUUCUCUAAUAGAGUGGUUGAUGUAUUGCAUAAUUUUGGCAAUUGGAUUUCACUCAAAACUCACCAAAUGACUCCUGCCACAACAUUAUGACGUUCCCCAAGUUUUGGACUCAAUACGAUAUCUUUUGGUGCAUGAAAUCGGACAAUUCAGGUUUGUACGAAGUUCGUUCUGAAAUGGAGUGGUUGGUGUACUGCAUAGUUUUGGAAAUUGGAUUUCACUCAAAACCCACCAAAUGCCUCCUCCCACAAUAUUAUGAUGUUCCCUAAGUUUUGGACUCAAUCUGUUAUCGAUCGGUCCAUGAAAUCGGACAAUUCAGGUUCGUACGAAGUUCGUUCUGAAAUUUAGCGGUUGGUGUAUUGUAUAGUUCGAGAGAUUGGAUUUCACUCAAAACCCGCGAAAUGACUCCUCCCACAAUAUUAUGAUGUUCUGAAAUGGAGUGGUUGGUGUAUUGUAUAGUUGUCGAGAUUGGAUUUCACUCAAAAUCCACCAAAUGACUCCUCCCACAAUAUUAUGGUGUUCCCAAGUUUUGGACUCAAUCCGAUAUCGAUUGGUCCUUGUAAUGGGACAAUUCAGGUUUGUACGAAGUUCGUUCUGAAAUGGAGUGGUUGGUGUAUUGUACAGUUCUAGAGAAUGGAUUUCACUCAAAAUCCACCAACUGACUACUCCCACAAUAUUAUGAUGUUCCCCAAGUUUUGGACUCAAUCCGAUAUCGAUUGUUCCUUGUAAUCGGACAAUUCAGGUUCGUACAAAAUUCGUUCUGAAAUGGUGUGGCUGAGGUAUUGUAUAGUUUUAGAGAUUGGAUUUCACUCAAAAAUCACCAGAUGACUCCUCGCACAAUAUUUUGAUGUUCCCCAAGUUUUGGACUCAUUCCGAUAUUGAUUGGUCACCGAAAUUUGACAAUUUAGGUUCGUACAAAGUUCGUUAUGAAAUGGAGUGGUUGGUGUAUUGUAUAGUUGUUGGGAUUGGAUUUCACUCAAAACCAACCAAACGAUUCGUCCCACAAUAUUAUGAUGUUCCCCAAGUUUUGGACUCAAUCCGAUAUCGAUUGGUCCUUGAAAUCGGACAAUUCAUGUUCCUACGAAGUUCUUUCUGAAAUGGGGUGGUUGGUGUAUUGUAUAGUUCUAGGGAUUGGAUUUCGUUCAAAACCCACCAAAUGACAAUUUCCACAAUGUUAUGAUGUUCCGCAAGUUUUGGACUCAAUCCGAUAUCUAUUGGUCCUUCAAAUCGGACAAUUUAGGUUCAGACGAAGUUCGUUUGGAAAUGGGGUGGUUGGUGUAUUGUAUAGUUCUAGAGAUUGGAUUUCACUCAAAACCCUCCAAAUGACUCGUCCCACAAUAUUAUAAUGUUCCCCAAGUUUUGGACUCAAUCCGUGACCGAUUGGACCACGAAAUUUGACAAUUCAGGUUCGUACGAAGUUCGUUCUGAAAUGGAGUGGUUGGUGUACUGUAUAGUUCUAGGGAUUGGAUUUCACUCAAAACCCUCCAAAUGACUCGUCCCACAAUAUUAUAAUGUUCCCCAAGUUUUGGACUCAAUCCGUGACCUAUUGGACCACGAAAUUUGACAAUUCAGGUUCGUACGAAGUUCGUUCUGAAAUGGAGUGGUUAGUGUACUGUAUAGUUCUAGGGAUGGGAUUUCACUCAAAACCCACCAAAUGACUCCUCCCACAAUAUUAUGAUGUUCCCCAAGUUUUGGACUCAAUCUGAUAUCGAUUGGUCCAUGAAAUCUGACAAUUCAGGUUCGUACGAAAUUCGUUCUAAAAUGGAGUGGGUGGUGUAUUGCAUAGUUCUAGGGAUUGAAUUUCGCUCAAAACCCACCAAAUGACAACUCCCACAAUAUUAUGAUGUUCCCCAAGUUUUGGACGCAAUCCGAUGUCGAUUCAUCCUUGAAAUCGGACAAUUCAGGUUCGUACGAAGUUCGUUCUGAAAUGUGGUGGUUGGUGUAUUGUAUAGUUUAGAGAUUGGAUUUCUCUCAAAACCCACCAAAUGACUCCUCCUACAAUAUUACGAUGUUAUCCAGGUUUUGUACUCAAUCCGAUAUCGAUUGGUCCACGAAGUUUAACAAUUCAGGUUCUUACGAAGUUCAUUCUGAAAUGGAGUGGUUGGUGUAUUGUAUAGUUCUAGGGAUUGGAUUUCACUCAAACCCCACCAAAUGAAUUCUCCCACAAUAUCAUGUUGUUCCCCAUGUUUUGGACUCAAUCUGAUAUCGAUUGGUCCUUGAAAUCGGACAAUUCAGGUUCUUACGAAGUUCGUUCUGAAAUGAAGCGGUUGGUGUAUUGUAUAGUUCUAGUGAUUGGGUUUCACUCGAAAAUCACCAAAUGACUCCUCCCACAUUAUUAUGAUGUUCCCCAAGUUUUGGACACAAUCCGAUAUCGAUUGGUCAAUCAAAUCGGACAAUUCACGUUCGUACGAACUUUGUUCUGGAAUGGAGUGGUUGGUUUAUUGUACAGUUCUAGGGAUUGGACUUCACUCAAAACUCACAAAAUGACUUCUCCCGCAAUAUUAUGAUGUUCCCCAAGUUUUGGACUCAAUUCGAUAUCGAUUUGUCCAUGAAAUCGGACAAUUCAAGUUCGUACGAAGUUCAUUCUGAAACGAGGUGGUUGGUGUAUAGUUUAGUUCUAGACAUUGGAUUUCAAUCAAAACCCACCAAAUGACUCCUCCCACAAUAUUAUGAUGUUCCCCAAGUUUUGGACUCAAUCCGAUAUCGAUUGGUCCAGGAAAUUUGACAAUUCAGGUUCGUACGAAGUUCGUUCUAAAAUGUAGUGGUUGGUGUAUUGUAUCGUUCUAGGGAUUGGAUUUCACUCAAAACCCACCAAAUGACUCAUCCCACAAUAUUAUGAUGUUUUGGACUCAAUCCGAUAUCGAUUGGUCCAUGAAAUCAGACAAUUCCGGUUCGUACGAAGUUCGUCCUGAAAUGGAGUGGUUGGUUUAUUGUAUAGUUCUAGGGAUUGGAUUUCACUCAAAACCCAACAAAUGACAACUCCCACAAUAUUAUGAUGCUCCCCAAGUUUUGGAUUCAAUCCGAUAUCGAUUGGUCCUUGAAAUCGGACAAUUCAAGUUAGUACGAAGUUCGUUCUGAAAUGGGGUGGUCGGUGUAUAGUUUAGUUCUAGGCAUUGGAUUGCACUCAAAACCCACCAAGUGACUCCUCCGACAAUAUUAUGAUGUUCCCCAAGUUUUGGACUCAAUCCUAUAUCAAUUGGUCGACGAAAUUUGACAAUUCAGGUUCGUACGAAGUUCGUUCUGAAAUGGAGUGGUUGGUGUAUUGUACAGUUGUCGAGAUUGGAUUUCACUCAAAAUCCACCAAAUGACUCCUCCCACAAUAUUAUGGUGUUCCCAAGUUUUGGACUCAAUCCGAUAUCGAUUGGUCCUUGUAAUGGGACAAUUCAGGUUUGUACGAAGUUCGUUCUGAAAUGGAGUGGUUGGUGCAUUGUACAGUUCUAGAGAAUGUAUUUCACUCAAAAUCCACCAACUGACUACUCCCACAAUAUUAUGAUGUUCCCCAAGUUUUGGACUCAAUCCGAUAUCGAUUGUUCCUUGUAAUCGGACAAUUCAGGUUCGUACGAAAUUCAUUCUGAAAUGGUGUGGCUUAGGUAUUGUAUAGUUUUAGAGAUUGGAUUUCACUCAAAAAUCACCAGAUGACUCCUCGCACAAUAUUUUGAUGUUCCCCAAGUUUUGGACUCAUUCCAAUAUAGAUUGGUCACCGAAAUUUGACAAUUCAGGUUCGUACAAAGUUCGUUCUGAAAUAGAGUGGUUGGUGUAUUGUAUAGUUCUUGGGAUUGGAUUUCACUCAAAACCCACCAAACGAUUCGUCCCACAAUAUUAUGAUGUUCCCCAUGUUUUGGACUCAAUCCGAUAUCGAUUGGUCCUUGAAAUCGGACAAUUCAUGUUCCUACGAAGUUCGUUCUGAAACGAGGUGGUUGGUGUAUAGUUUAGUUCUAGACAUUGGAUUUCAAUCAAAACCCACCAAAUGACAACUUCCACAAUGUUAUGAUGUUCCGCAAGUCUGGGACUCAAUAUGAUAUCGAUUGGUCCUUCAAAUCGGACAAUUCAGGUUCGGACGAAGUUCGUUCUGAAAUGGGGUGGUUGGUGUAUUGUAUAGUUCUAGAGAUUGGAUUUCACUCCAAACCCUCCAAAUGACUCGCCCCACAAUAUUAUGGUGUUCCCCAAGUUUUGGACUCAAUCCGUGACCGAUUGGACCACGAAAUUUGACAAUUCAGGUUCGUACGAAGUUCGUUCUAAAAUAGAGUGGGUGGUGUAUUGUAUAGUUCUAGGGAUUGAAUUUCGCUCAAAACCCACCAAAUGACAACUCGCACAAUAUUAUAAUGUUCCCCAAGUUUUGGACACAAUCCGAUGUCGAUUCAACCUUGAAAUCGGACAAUUCAGGUUCGUACGAAGUUCGUUCUGAAAUGGGGUGGUUGGUGUAUUGUAUAGUUCUAGAGAUUGGAUUUCUUUCAAAACCCACCAAAUGACUCCUCCUACAAUAUUAUGAUGUUCCCCAGAUUUUGGACUCAAUCCGAUAUCGAUUGGUCCACGAAAUUUAACAAUUCAGGUUCUUACGAAGUUCGUUCUGAAAUGGAGUGGUUGGUGUAUUAUGUAGUUCUAGGGAUUGAAUUUCACUCAAAACCCACCAAAUGAAUCCUCCCACAAUAUCAUGAUGUUCCCCAAGUUUUGGACUCAAUCCGAUAUCGAUUGGUCCUUGAAAUCGGACAAUUCAGGUUCUUACGAAGUUCGUUCUGAAAUGGAGUGGUUGGUGUAUUGUAUAGUGCUUCAGAUUGGAUUUCACUCAAAACCCACGAAAUGACUCCGCCCACAAUAUUAUGAUGUUCCCCAGGUUUUGGACUCAAUCCGAUAUUGAUUGGUCCACGAAAUUUAACAAUUCAGGUUCAUACGAAGUUCGUUCUGAAAAGGAGUGGUUGGUGUAUUGUAUAGUUCUAGGCAUUGGAUUUCACUCAAAACCCACCAAAUGAAUCCUCCUACAAUAUUAUGAUGUUCACCAAGUUUUGGACUCAAUCCAAUAUCGACUGGUCCUUGAAAUUGAACAAUUCAGUUUCGUACGAAGUUCGUUUUGAUAUGGACUAAUUGGUGUAUUGUAUAGUGGUACAGAUUGGAUUUCACUGAAAACCCACCAAAUGACUCCUCCCAUAAUAUUAUGAUGUUCCCGAAGUUUUGGACACAAUCCGAUAUCCAUUGGUCAAUGAAAUCGGACAAUUCAAGUUCGUACGAAGUUCGUUCUGAAAUGGAGUGGUUGGUGUAUUGUAACGUUCUAGAUAUUGGAUUUCACUCAAAAUCCACCAAAUGACUCCUCCCACAAUAUUAUGAUGUUCCCCAAGUUUUGUACUCAAUCUGAUAUCGAUUAUUCCUUGUAAUCGGACAAUUGAAGUUCGUUAUGAAAUGGAGUGGCUGAUGUAUUGUAUAGUUCUAGAGAUUGGAUUUCACUCAAAAAUCACCAAAUGACUCCUCCCACAAUAUUAUGAUGUUGCCGAAGUUUUGGACUCAAUGAGAUUUCGAUUGGUCCAUGAAAUCAGACAAUUCAUGUUCGUACGAAGUUCGUUCUGAAAUGAAGUGGUUAGUGUAUUGCAUAGUUCUAGAGAUUGGAUUUCACUGAAAACCCACCAAAUGACUCCUCCCACAAUAUUAUGAUGUUCCCGAAGUUUUGGACACAAUCCGAUAUCCAUUGGUCAAUGAAAUCGGACAAUUCAAGUUCGUACGAAGUUCGUUCUGAAAUGGAGUGGUUGGUGUAUUGUAUAGUUCUAGAUAUUGGAUUUCACUCAAAAUCCACCAAAUGACUCCUCCCACAAUAUUAUGAUGUUCCCCAAGUUUUGGACUCAAUCUGAUAUCGAUUAUUCCUUGUAAUCGGACAAUUCAAGUUCGUUCUAAAGUGCAGUGGCUGAUGUAUUGUAUAGUUCUAGAGAUUGGAUUUCACUCAAAAAUCACCAAAUGACUCCUCCCACAAUAUUAUGAUGUUGCCGAAGUUUUGGACUCAAUCCGAUUUCGAUUGGUCCAUGAAAUUAGACAAUUCGGGUUCAUACGAAGUUCGUUCUGAAAUGGAGUGGUUGGUGUAUUGUAUAGUUCUAGGGAUUGGAUUUCACUCAAAACCCACCAAAUGACAAAUCCCACAAUAUCAUGAUGUUGCCCAAGUUUUGGACUCAAUCCGAUAUCGAUUGGUCCAUGAAAUGAGACAAUUCAGUUUCGUACGAAGUUCGUUCCGAAAUGGAGUGGUUGGUGUAUUGUAUAGUUCUAGAGAUUGGAUUUCACUCAAAACCCACCAAAUGGCUCCUCCCUUAAUAUUAUGAUGUUCCCCAAGUUUUGGACUCAAUCCCAUAUCUUUUGGUCAAUGAAAUCGGACAAUUCAGGUUUUGACGAAGUUCGUUCUGAAAUGGAGUGGUUGGUUUAUUGUAUAGUUCUAGGGAUUGGAUUUCACUCAAAACCCACCAAAUGACUCCUCCCACAAUAUUACUAUGUUCCCCAAGUUUUGGACUCUAUCCGAUAUCGAUUGGUCCUUGAAAUCGGAGAAUUCAGGUUCGUACGAAGUUCGUUCUGAAAUGGAGUGGUUGGUUUAUUGUAUAGUUCUAGGAAUUGGGUUUCACUCAAAACCCGCCAAAUGACAACUCCCACAAUAUUAUGAUGUUCCCCAAGUUUUGGACUCAAUCCGAUAUCGAUUUGUCCAUGAAAUAUUACAAUUCAAGUUCGUUCUGAAAUAGGGUGUUUGGUGUAUUGUAUAGUUCUAGAGAUUGGAUUUCACUCAAAAACCACGAACUGACUCCUCCCACAAUAUUAUGACGUUCCGCAAGUUUUGGACUGCAUCCCUUAUCGAUUGGUCCAUGAAAUCGGGCUAUUCAGGUUCGUACGAAGUUCGUUAUGAAAUGGAGUGGUUGUUGUAUUGCAUAGUUCUACGGAUUGGAUUUCACUCAAAACCCACCAAAUGACAACUCCCACUAUAUUAUGAUGUUCCCCAAGUUUUGGACUCACUCCGAUAUCGAUUGGUCCAUGAAAUCGGACAAUUCAGGUUCGCACGAAGUUCGUCCUAAAAUGGGGUGGUUGGUGUAUUGUAUAGUUCUAGAGAUUGGAUUUCACUCAAAACCCACCAAAUGACUCCUCCCACAAAUUAUGAUGGUCCCCUAGUUUUGGACUCAAUCCAAUAUCGAUUGGUCCAUCAAAUCGGCCAAUUCCG